GCGUCCGUAGCUCAAUGGAUAGAGUACUGCCCUCCGAAGGCAGGGGUUGCUGGUUCGAUCCCAGCCGGGCGCGCCA
rnacentral:tRNA from 8 species